GACGAACGCUGGCGGCGUGCUUAACACAUGCAAGUCGAACGGAAAGGCCCUGCUUUUGUGGGGUGCUCGAGUGGCGAACGGGUGAGUAACACGUGAGUAACCUGCCCUUGACUUUGGGAUAACUUCAGGAAACUGGGGCUAAUACCGGGUAGGAUCUCCUGCUGCAUGGUGGGGGUUGGAAAGUUUCGGCGGUUGGGGAUGGACUCGCGGCUUAUCAGCUUGUUGGUGGGGUAGUGGCUUACCAAGGCUUUGACGGGUAGCCGGCCUGAGAGGGUGACCGGCCACAUUGGGACUGAGAUACGACCCAGACUCCUACGGGAGGCAGCAGUGGGGAAUAUUGCACAAUGGGCGGAAGCAUGAUGCAGCAACGCCGCGUGCGGGAUGACGGCCUUCGGGUUGUAAACCGCUUUCGCCUGUGACGAAGCGAGAGUGACGGUAAUGGGUAAAGAAGCACCGGCUAACUACGUG
rnacentral:rRNA from 1 species